AGAGGGAUGGCUGAGCGGUUUAAAGCGGCGGUCUUGAAAACCGUUGACUGUAACAGGUCCGGGGGUUCGAAUCCCUCUCCCUCUGCUA
rnacentral:tRNA from 1 species